AACAAACAAAGUUUCGAAAAUAAGGUCCCAUGACCUAACCAAUCUCUUGCUCUGACCUACCAGAGCCCCAAUCCCGGCUCAUUAAAAAUCUUCUCUAGUCUACCGCGCUACGCUGCUGCCGAGCGUAGUCGCCGACGCCUCACGGCCCUAACCCUAACCCACCUCUCACGCGCGUCGCCGCCGACGCCUCACGGCCCAAACCCUAACCCACCUCUCACGCGCGUCGCCGCCACCAUCGCCGUUCCCAUUCCACCUCGUCACGUCCCUGCCAUAUUCACCCCGUCCGAAACCUUGGACAUUGGUUUCUGAAGGUAGGAGCUUUUGGAUCAUCCAGCGAUUACUU
rnacentral:lncRNA from 1 species